AAGCCCAGCCCUGUCUACUCUGCACCUGCAUCCAGGCAGCUGGAGAUGGCUGGGAGAAUAAAAGGCUACAAACGACCUGACAGCAGAAAGUAAGUCUUCUGCUUCUCCGACAACACAGUUUGAGUCCACACUAGGAAUUUCAUAACCAGCCCGACGGCGAACUCCCACACACCAGAGCAACCGCGGAGCAGAGACAAUAAUGCAAGCAGCUGCUCAAGCUGUGGUUUUCAUUAAGGGAAAAAAGUGCCUUGAUUAUAAGGGAUUUAGUUUUUAACCUUUGGGCCAACACUAAAGUGAUUAAAACUCCAUGUACAGAAACACAAAUGGUUUCUUAAAAGUAUGAUUGGAGCAUACUCAGCAUUAUCUAUGGGGGCUGAGAACAGUUCAAAUUUUAACACCCACCUUGGCUUAGUGCAUGAACUUGGAUGUAGGAAAGCUAGCAAAAACCCAGUAUACAAAACCCAUUGUACAGGCCCUAAGUUGCAUUUCUGCAAAGGUCAGGGAUAUAUUUUUGCCAAAUUCUUCAGCUACAAAAAGCAAGGCGAUCAAGCCAUGAAAAGACAUGGAGGAACCUUAAAUGCAUAAUUCUAGUGGAAGAUGACAAUUUGAAAAGGUUACAUACUAUAUGAUUCCAACUGAUAUUCUGGAAAAGGCAAACCUAUUGGAGACAAUAAAAAGAUCAAUUUUUUUCAGGGAUUAGUGGGAAGGGAGGGAUAAACUGAUGGAACACGGAAGAUUUUAGAGCAGUGAAAAUGCUCUGUAUGAUAAUAUAAUGGUCAAUACAUGCCAUUAAACAGUUGUCCAAACCCACAGAAUAUACAAUGCCAAUGGUGAACCCUAAAGGAAACUGUGUACUUUUGGUGGCAAUGAUGUGUUAGUACAGGUUUAUCAGUUAUAACAAGUGAACCGCUGUGGUGGGGGUGCUGGCAAUGGGGGAGGCUACGCGUGUGUUGGGGGCAUGGUGUACGAGGUA